CACAACACAGUCCUGGAAAAUGGCAGAAGGAGCAGGCAGCGACAGCUGGAGAAGAGGAGGCUGGAGGCCAAGGUCCUCACGCUCUGUAAAAGCAGUUUCUGGACUGAGACACAGCAGAUCUCCAAGGGUCUCUGUCUGCCAGGCU